AACGAACGCUGGCGGCAUGCCUAACACAUGCAAGUCGAGCGCCUGUAGCGAUACGGGAGCGGCGCACGGGUGAGUAACGCGUGGGAACCUGUCCUUAGGUUCGGGACAACCGCGGGACACUGCGGCUGAUACCGGAUGAAGUCCCCGAUAGAGAUAUUGGGGCCCAAAGAUUUAUCGCCUUUGGAGGGGCCCGCGUCGGAUUAGGUAGUUGGUGGGGUAACGGCUCACCAAGCCUGUGAUCCGUAGCUGGUCUGAGAGGAUGAUCAGCCACACUGGGACUGAGACACGGCCCAGACUCCUACGGGAGGCAGCAGUGGGGAGUAUUGGACAAUGGGGGCAACCCUGAUCCAGCAAUGCCGCGUGGGUGAUGAAGGCCUUCGGGUUGUAAAGCCCUUUCGGCGGGGACGAUGAUGACGGUACCCGCAGAAGAAGCCCCGGCUAACUUCGUGCCAGCAGCCGCGGUAACAC
rnacentral:rRNA from 1 species